GAUGAACGCUAGCUACAGGCUUAACACAUGCAAGUCGAGGGACCGGCGCACGGGUGAGUAACACGUAUCCAACCUGCCCUUUACUCGGGGAUAGCCUUUCGAAGGAAAGAUUAAUACCCGAUAGAAAGGAUGGGGAUGCGUUCCAUUAGGUUGUGGGUGAGGUACCGGCUAACCAAGCCUUCUAUGGCUAGGGGUUCUGAGAGGAAGGACCCCCACGAUGGAACUGAGACACGGUCCAAACUCGUACGAAACGCAGCAGGGAAGAAUAUUAGGCAAUGGACGCUAGCCUAGACCUGCCAAGUAGAGUGAAAGAUGAAGGCGUAUGGGUCGUAUACUACUUGUAAGUAAGAAUAGGUAAUAUAUGAAUAAGGAUCGGCUAACUCCGUGCCAGCAGCCGCGGUAAUAC
rnacentral:rRNA from 1 species